AGAGUUUGAUCAUGGCUCAGAACGAACGCUGGCGGCAGGCUUAACACAUGCAAGUCGAACGGUUGUAGCAAUACAGCAGUGGCAGACGGGUGAGUAACACGUGGGAACCUUCCUAGGGGUACGGAACAACUCAGGGAAACUUGAGCUAAUACCGUAUACGUCCGUGAGGAGAAAGAUUUAUCGCCCCUAGACGGGCCCGCGUAGGAUUAGGUAGUUGGUGAGGUAACGGCUCACCAAGCCUACGAUCCUUAGCUGAUCUGAGAGGAUGAUCAGCCACACUGGGACUGAGACACGGCCCAGACUCCUACGGGAGGCAGCAGUGGGGAAUCUUGGACAAUGGGCGCAAGCCUGAUCCAGCCAUGCCGCGUGAGUGAAGAAGGCCUUCGGGUUGUAAAGCUCUUUUACCAGGGACGAUAAUGACGGUACCUGAGAAUAG
rnacentral:rRNA from 1 species